rnacentral:tRNA from 2 species
UAAGAAGAGGUGUAAAGGAUGCACAAGGAGUUUUGAUCUCUUAGGGGAAGGUUCGAAUCCUUUUUUCUUAA